AGUGAACGCUGGCGGUAGGCCUAACACAUGCAAGUCGAACGGCAGCACAGUAAGAGCUUGCUCUUACGGGUGGCGAGUGGCGGACGGGUGAGGAAUACAUCGGAAUCUACUUUUUCGUGGGGGAUAACGUAGGGAAACUUACGCUAAUACCGCAUACGACCUACGGGUGAAAGCAGGAGAUCUUCGGACCUUGCGCGAUUGAAUGAGCCGAUGUCGGAUUAGCUAGUUGGCGGGGUAAAGGCCCACCAAGGCGACGAUCCGUAGCUGGUCUGAGAGGAUGAUCAGCCACACUGGAACUGAGACACGGUCCAGACUCCUACGGGAGGCAGCAGUGGGGAAUAUUGGACAAUGGGCGCAAGCCUGAUCCAGCCAUACCGCGUGGGUGAAGAAGGCCUUCGGGUUGUAAAGCCCUUUUGUUGGGAAAGAAAAGCAGCAGGUUAAUACCCCGAUGUUCUGACGGUACCCAAAGAAUAAGCACCGGCUAACUUCGUG
rnacentral:rRNA from 1 species